rnacentral:rRNA from 1 species
CACGUAGGGGGCAAGCGUUGUCCGGAUUUAUUGGGCGUAAAGAGCUCGUAGGCGGUUCGGUAAGUCGGGUGUGAAACCUCCAGGCUCAACCUGGAGACGCCACCCGAUACUGCUGUGACUAGAGUCCGGUAGGGGAGCGUGGAAUUCCUGGUGUAGCGGUGAAAUUCGUAGAUAUUGGGAAGAACACCAAUGGCGAAGGCAGCUCUCUGGACCGUUACUGACGCUGAGGCACGAAAGCUAGGGGAGCAAACAGG